rnacentral:rRNA from 1 species
AUGGAUGGGAUCAUGAAGGUGCUCGAUCACACCGUCCGGGAGAUAAAGCGAGAGGUCAAUCUCAAGGUGCUCAAGGUGCCAGAGAUCGAGCAGAAGGUUCUUGACGCGACGAACGAUGAGCCGUGGGGGCCUCACGGUUCAGACAUGGCGGACAUUGCACGGGCCACCAAGAAUAUCGGCGAAUGCCAAAUAAUUAUGAAGGUGCUGUGGCAACGGUUGGGCAACACCGACGCGAAUUGGCGUCACCUGUAUAAGGCGCUGGCUGUGGCUGAGUAUCUUCUGGCCAAUGGCACUGAGCGCGCAGCUGAGGAAAUCAUCGACAACAGCUCACAGAUUGCGAAACUCACCACAUUCGAGUUUGUGGAGCCUGGUGGAAAAGAUGUUGGGCUCAAUGUGCGCAAGAAGGCUGAAGCUGUUCUGGUCAUUGUGGAUGACAGGGAAAAGCUUCAACAAGCCAGGGAGAAGGCUGCUUCUACGAGGGACAAGUACUUGGGGGUGUCAUCAACUGGAAUGUCAUCAUACAAAUCAAGCGCAGCAUCAUUUGGCAGUGGCAGCUACUCCUCUGGUAGUCGCUAUGGGAGCACAGCUGGUUCAAGGGGAACUGCCUCGUUCAAGGAUAGACACACUGGCACAGAAUUGAGCAAGAACAAUAAUAAGCCAAGUUACAGCAGCACUAGACAAAGGCCAAAAGAAGCUACUAAUAAGAGUGCAAAUAGCUCUAAAUUAGCAAAGGGAGGCUCCAAAUCAUUGUCGAAUCCACGUGCCGCACCUGGUGUUCCAAGUUCACAGAAAGGAAAAAAUGAGGAUGAUGGCGACGAGUUCAAUCCACGAGGAUCUUCCACAUCUGAUUUCCAGUCAGCCAAUGCCCCAUUAGAGGCAGCAACGUCAAGUGGUUCUCACCCUCAGGACAACAUUGAUCUAUUUGCUGGCAGACCAUCCUUUGGUGGCUCAGCUACUGCAGACAUGGAGUUCUCAGUACGUGGUGCUCCCAAAAAGCAUAUAGAGCAAAAAACUUCUUCCCCUGCGCAGCCCUCUGCGUCUGCUUUUGAUCCCUUCAACCCAUCCUUUGCCACAAUAUUCCCUUCGGACACAGAGUUUUCAGUGCGUGGCACCCCAAGCAAAUCCAAAUCCUCACAAGGAAAGCCCCCCGCACCUGAAAAUUCAAGUGGCACGACUUUCGACCCUUUGGCUGGAAUUCGGGUGAAGAGUUUCAACGGAUCAAACUCUUCUGGUGUAUGGUCUUCAAGUAAAGGAUCAGCUGUUACUGAACCAACACAUGGUUCUCCUGGGGCCACCAAGAGUUCUGAUUGCAGUCCUUCGGAGGAGUUGAAUUUUGGGGCCUUUACGUUGCACAAGGAAUCACGCACGGUAAGUGCCACCAAAUCCAUGAACGAGUCACUCGCAAAGCAGAAGCAGGACUCCAUGCCAGCAUCAAAACCAGCUGUGAAGGGAGAGACUUUUCGGGUCAAAUCUAGCAUUUGGGCUGACUCUUUGAGCCGUGGGUUGAUUGAUUUGAAUAUAGCUGCCCCAAACAUUGUUGGUCCUUCAGAUGCCGGGGUCGUUGGGCGGCUCAGCAACGGCUCUGAGGAGAAAGCCCCAGAAGCUGUUCCAUGGUACAUGGAGGCAGCAACAGGCACUACUGAGUUUCCACGCUCCACAGGAGCAGGUGGUGAAAGCCGCAUUUUCCAGCAGCAGCAGCAGCAGCACUUUGGGAACUUCAGGUGA